CUCUCUCAGGAUUGUGGGUAGUGGGAGGAGUCGAGAGUUUUGCGGCACACUUUUGAGAGUUUGUUACUUUUAAUCAAUUUCUUAGUUCUUUUUUAAGAUUCAUGUAAAAAAAAAAAAAAAAGAUUAAUCUUAGACAUAAAACUUCUUUGAGCGCCGACUUCGGUCGGAAAACUUUGACAAAUGGGGUGAAGGGGAGAUUUCUCACGCUUGACUCUGAGACAUGGAUUUAAACGUACACCUGAUGACUCCGUAUCUGUGGAAGAUGUGCUGGUUGCAGUCAGUGAACAGAUGGACUGCCGCAUCUUGGACAUGAAGAUAAAGCAGAGCUGGAGAAACCUUUGUCCUUUCAGGAGUUAACGGAAGCUGUCCAGCAGCAAUCUUCGGGAAAAUCACCAGGAUUGGAUGGCUUGACUUCUGAAAUGUAUAAAGCCUUCUGGUCCCUCAUUGGUCAGGAUUUGUAUGAGGUGUUUCUCGAAAGCUUUGAGUCAAAUAUCCUACCCAUCAGUUGUAGAAGAGCUGUAGUGACUCUUUUACCCAAGAAAGGAGAUCUUGGUUUAUUGAAGAACUGGCGACUGGUCUCUCUUUUAGGAACUGAUUAUAAAAUAUUGUCUAAAACUCUGACAAAUCAUCUUAAAAAAUCUAUAGCGUCCAUCAUCCAUGAAGAUCAGUCCUACUGUGUACCCUAGCGAUCUAUAUUUCACAAUCUUUUUUUGUGCGGGACAUGGUGUACUUAACGGAACUGCAUACAUUAGAUCUUGGUCUUGUGUGUUUGGACCAAGAAAAAGCCUUUGAUAAAUUUGACCAUGAAUACCUGUUCAAAAUACUUGAAAGAUUUGGCUUUGGGAAUCAGUUUAUUUCAUGGAUAAGGCUUCUUUAUAAAGAUGUCUAUAGUAUGCUGAAAAUAAAUGGAAUUUUGACCAGACCUUCUUCUGUAGGUAGAGGUGUGACACAAGGGUGUAGUUUUUCUGGUCUCUUGUACACGAUUUCCAUUGAGUCAAUGUUGAGGAUGCUGAGAGAGAAGCUGCAAGGAUUUACAGUUCCAACAUCUCACCUUUCAAACACAGCAGUGGUGAAACUGACCGCGUAUAAAGAUGACAUCCCAGUGAUCAUUAGAUCUGAAGACGAUGUUAAACAUCUUACCUCAUGCCUCAACAUCUUUUAGAGUGCUUCUUCCGCACGGAUCAAUUGGGGGAAAAACUGACACUUUAUUGUUAGGCCAUUGGUCACACCAAAAUCCACCUCAGCUUCCACAUCAGCACCCUUGGAAUAAAGAGGGGGUUAAGAUACUGGGGCUGUUCUUUGGGACUGAACAGAACAUGAACAAGAAUUGGGAAGGACUUGUAGAAAAAGUGACAGGCAAGCUCCAGAGAUGGAAGUGGAUUCAAGCCCAGCUUUCCUACAGAGGCAGGGUGCUGGUGGUGAAUAAUCUAGCCACCUCAAUGCUGUGGCAUCGUCUAACCGUGUUGGACCCUCAGAAAGAGCUUUUGUCACAACUUCAAAAAGCCUUUGUAGACUUCUUUUGGGGUGGUCAUCAUUGGCUUCCCCCCCUGGGGUACUGUGUCUCCCUACAAUUGAUAGCGGUCAGGGAUUAAUUCAUUUUGCCUCUAAGGUGAAAUCCAUGAGGUUGCAGACUGCCCAAAAACUGCUUUACUCAUCGGACUCUCUACCAUGGAUUAGCUUUGGCCUUGCCAUUGUACGUGGAAAAAACAAGAUGGAUUUUGAUAAACAAAUGUUUCUGAUUUCGGGAAAUGUGGUAAAAGACAUGUUUAAGAUAAGGUUUUAUGAAUCGGUUCUUGAAGCUUGGGGUUACUUUAAGUCGGAGCGGAAAGAACAUUUUGGUUUUGAUGAACCACUUCUGCACAGUCCUUGGUUUUCUAAAAAAAUGCAUUAUAUCCAACACUGAAAUUUCUAACUUUGUUUUAGCUGGGAUAACUAAAGUUGGAAACCUGUUUGACUUGUCGAAUAGAGAAUGUUUUUCAGUACAGAAUCUAACUAGAAAAAUUACUGGUAGAUCAUAGAGAAUAGUCGGGAACAUAUUAAAGGAUUUGAAAACAUCUUUUCCUGCAUGUUUGUGGGAUAAUAUAUAACCAAGUUUAUGUCCGGUGGUAACACAAAGGUCUUUUUUUCCAGAAGUGUACAUAACUCCACAGGUAGCUCAAAUUAACAAUGGAGACAAUGUAAACAUGUUGUUAUCCUUUAAAGGCUUGCAAAGUCUUCCGUUUUCCAUGGUGAACAAACAAAAUGCAUAUAUUUCCUGUGUAAAGUCUGACUUUGUCAGACAUCUAAGGGGGAGGAGGCAUACAAAAUGGAGGACUCAUUUCUUGAAGUCGGGAGAUAAUGAACCUUAAUGGCGGUUAUUGUAUAAGAACUUUCUACCAAAAAAAGUCUGGUGACAUACAGUGGCAGAUUUUACAUUGUGCAUUACCAACAAAAGUGUUUUUGUUUAAAUGUAAAUAUGCACCGUCUCCACUGUGUACUUUGUGUGAUGAACUCGAUACUGUGUUUCAUGUCUUUUGUGAAUGUUGUAAACUAUCUCCGCUCUUUAAUCUAUUGUAUACAAUGUUUUGUAGUUUGGGGAUCAUUUUCUUGAAAACAGGGUUUAUUUAUGGGGGUAGAUAUUCUCGCCACAGGCAGGAAAUCUGUACCUAUUCGAAUUUUUUGGUCGGUCAAGCAAAAUUAGCCGUUUGGAAGGCUGACAAAAUGGGAUCAGAAGGGAAAGAAGUAAACAUGGUUAAAUUAUUUAAGGCCUUGGUUGAGUCUAGGAUUAGAUUAAAGUAUGAAUUUUACCAAAUGAAUGGUGAUCUUCCGAUGUUUGAGAAGAAAUGGUGUGUAAACAAAGGGGUGACUUAUAAGAGGCGAGAAUCUCUUUUUCAAUUGGUAAUGGUCGUUAAAACAAUGUGUUCUGUAUGUUAAGGUUUUUUAAUUGUAGAAUAAAUUAUAUUUUAAAAGUCAAAGUCUCUCUCUCUCUCCCCCUGCAGAUGUGUUGUUAUCUCUAGCAUCCCUGCUGGUGCCUCUGCAAAUUACACCUGCAACAUGAGGGGUCGUCAUGUGAACAUCAUCAUUCCCAAUGUUAUCCAGGCUCUCACGCUCUGUGAAGUGGAAGUCUAUGGGGUUCCAGGCUACACUUUUAUAUCCAGUUCACAAUUUCAUAUACAUUUGAAGUCAAAUUAAGUUUUACAACAGCUGCUAAAUAUCAACAUUGCUAAUUUUUUUUAGUGCCUGUUACUAAGAGGGCAUUUCUGAGAUUGAAGUUUAACAUCAGUGAGUAUCUUAUGAACCCUGCUGUGAGGGACAAAAUUAUUCAAAAGGUUUGUGUUCAUGACAUGUAUGGUAGAUUCAUAAAUAAAUAAAUAAAUAAUACAAAUUUUUCAUCAUAGACGAUAUCUACCAAUGCCCAGCCUUCAGUGCGUCAGAUCUGUUGGACUACAGAACCAGAGGUGGAAAAUGAAACUUAAAAAACGGUGGCAGAAAUAUAUCUGAAACAAGAAGAAGAAGAAGCGGAAGAAGAAGAAGAAGUGUUCAAAGAACAAAAAGAAAGAAAAAACAUCAAAUGUGUGAGGUUUGGGUUUAGCACUUGAAAAUACUAGCUAACUGAUGUUAUAGGUUUAUUAAUUAGAAGUACUAGAAGUUUUUUAGUUUGUUUGUUUGGGAAAUGUAUCCAUGAAAAAUUAUUACCACAGGGUUUGUACAAGGUGCUUGAAUUUGGCAUUUGGAAAUUUAAGUACUGGAAAACCUUGAAAAUAGCCAAUUUUUUUUUUUAUGUUAAAAAAAGUGGUUAAAAAGUGCUUGAAUGAUAAAACAUCAAUAAAUAAAAAAUAACAAUCACUUUAAAGGGUUUAUUUUCAAAAGAACACGAAUACAAUCCUUUCACUCAAAAUAUGACUCCCCGCUGCAGCCCCUCCUCCUCCUCCCGUUCACUCAUUCAUUUUAACAGGGACAGCUUUGGUCCACCUCUCAGACCCCUUUAGCAACUUUUUUUUUUUUUUUUUUUUUUUUUAAAGCAUCUAGCGACAUAUCUAGCGACUUUUUGGACAAACCUUAGCUACUUUCCAUAGAAGAUAAUGGCCAGUACUGCGCGGCGAGUGCGAGGUCCUGCUUUCAGAAACAGAAAAAAUGUCCAGAAUGUCUCUGAAACACUUCAGCCUAUGAUUAGCCAUGGAUUCCUGGGAGGACACUGUAGCAGUCUCUGAGGAUUUCUUCUCAUCACUCCACUGUAAAAACAAACAAACAAAACAAACAAACAAACAAAAAAAAAAACCAAACCACUAAAUGCUAGCUUCAUCUUCUUUUAAUUUGAUUGUCAGUGCUCAACUCAAACCAACAGCAGAAUUAUUAAUAAUAUCAGGAAUGAUUGUGUCUAAAAUCAACCACUGAUUAUAUCCCACUUGUUUGUUUCUAGAUUGUAUGAUUUAUUUAGCCAAAUCUAAACUCACUUCUCCAUUUGUGUAACUGGAUACUCAGGAUAAUAAAAUUUCACUCUCGUUUCCAUCCACCCCCAUUUUCUACAUCUCCUAUCAUACAGGAACCUUGAGCGUAUCCCAGAGAUCAUAGGGCACAGGACAGGGUACACCCUGGACAGGGUACCAGGCCAUCGCAAGGCACACUCACAUAUACAUUCACACACCCAUUCAUACACUACAGACACUUUGGACAUGCCAAUCAGCCUACCAUGCAUGUCUUUGGACAGGGGGAGCAGCACAGGGAGAACACGCAAACUACACACACACAGGGUUGUGGUGGGAAUCAAACCCCCAACCCUGGAGGUGGGAGGCAAACGUGCUUAGCACUAAGCCACCGUGCGCCCCACUCUGGUCUUUUUAAUAAAAAUGUGACACACAGAAUAGCACAAUGUGCUAUCAAAUUAAUAGUUGGUGACUGUUUUCUUUAUAGUGUAUAUGCACUGUAAAUGACUUCUUAUUUAAAAACAUAAAUGUAACUGACAUGCUGCUUUAUUAAAUCAUAGCAACUUGAGCACCUGCCUAGCCCUACUCUGAAUAUGAGGAACUUUCCUACACAACUAUUGACAUAACUAAUGGUCUGCACUUUUUUUAACCUGAGCAGUGUUUCCCAUUCACCCAUUCUCACACCAAUGGUAGCAGAGCUGCCAUGCAAGGUGCUAACUUGACAUCAGGAGCAACUUGGGGUUCAGUGUCUUGCCCAAGGACACUUCGAGUCAUGUGGGCCAGGAAUCGAACCUCCAACCCUA